GACGAACGCUGGCGGCGUGCUUAACACAUGCAAGUCGAACGGAAAGGCCCUGCUUUUGUGGGGUGCUCGAGUGGCGAACGGGUGAGUAACACGUGAGUAACCUGCCCUUGACUUUGGGAUAACUUCAGGAAACUGGGGCUAAUACCGGAUAGGAGCUCCUGCUGCAUGGUGGGGGUUGGAAAGUUUCGGCGGUUGGGGAUGGACUCGCGGCUUAUCAGCUUGUUGGUGGGGUAGUGGCUUACCAAGGCUUUGACGGGUAGCCGGCCUGAGAGGGGGACCGGCCACAUUGGGAAUGGGAUACGGCCCAGACUCCUACGGGAGGCAGCAGUGGGGAAUAUUGCACAAUGGGCGGAAGCCUGAUGCAGCAACGCCGCGUGCGGGAUGACGGCAUUCGGGUUGUAAACCGCUUUCGCCUGUGACGAAGCGUGAGUGACGGUAAUGGGUAAAGAAGCACCGGCUAACUACGUG
rnacentral:rRNA from 1 species